rnacentral:rRNA from 1 species
GUAUGGAGCAAGCGUUAUCCGGAUUUACUGGGUGUAAAGGGCGCGUAGGUGGCAGUGCAAGUCAGAUGUGAAAGGCCGGGGCUCAACCCCGGAGCUGCAUUUGAAACUGCUCGGCUAGAGUACAGGAGAGGCAGGCGGAAUUCCUAGUGUAGCGGUGAAAUGCGUAGAUAUUAGGAGGAACACCAGUGGCGAAGGCGGCCUGCUGGACUGUUACUGACUCUGAGGCACGAAAGCGUGGGGAGCAAACAGGAUUAGAUACCCUGGUAGUCCACACUGUAAACGAUGAAUACUAGGUGUGCGGGGACUGACCCCCUGCGUGCCGCAGCUAACGCAAUAAGUAUUUCACCUGGGGAGU